rnacentral:rRNA from 1 species
AACGGCCGUACCAUGCUGAAUAUACCGGUUCUCGUUAGAUCACCGUAGUUAAGCAUCAUUGGGCGCGGUCAGUACUUGGGUGGGUGACCAUCUGGGAACACUGCGUGCCGUU